CCUACGGGAGGCAGCAGUGAGGAAUAUUGGUCAAUGGGCGAGAGCCUGAACCAGCCAAGUCGCGUGAGGGAGUACUGCCCUAUGGGUUGUAAACCUCUUUUGUCGGGGAGCAAAAGCCGGACGUGUCCGGCUGGGAGAGUACCCGAAGAAAAAGCAUCGGCUAACUCCGUGCCAGCAGCCGCGGUAAUACGGAGGAUGCGAGCGUUAGCCGGAUUUAUGGGGUUAAAAGGGUGCGCAGGCGGAUUUUUAAGUCAGCGGUCAAAUCGUGGGGCUCAACCCCAUCCAGCCGUUGAAACUGGCUGUCUUGAGAUGUCGAGAGGUAUGCGGAAUGCGCAGUGUAGCGGUGAAAUGCUUAGAUAUUGCGCAGAACUCCGAUUGCGAAGGCAGCAUACCGGCGGCGAUCUGACGCUGAGGCACGAAAGCGUGGGUAUCGAACAGGAUUAGAUACCCGAGUAGUC
rnacentral:rRNA from 1 species